UUGUAGAGUGCAGUGAGGUCUCCCCUGAGCCUCCUCUUCUCCAGACUAAAAGACUUAGAUUCUCUUUAACUUCUGAGAUAAAAAUGUACAUCUGUGCUCUAGUAUACACUUUCUACCAUCUCUUCUUUUGCAUCUUCUGAAUAAUUUUUCUGCCUCUAGUUGUAAGUCACUUGCUGCUUUUCGAUUUAUUUAGUUCAGCAUGCAGGGGAAGUGCAUAUCAAAUUUAUGGGCUGAAGUGGAAUUGUCAGCUAUUCAUGAAGCAACACCUCCAAGAAAGAUCGCUUAUGGCUUCUUGUCCUGAGCAAUACAGAACUUGAAGCAAUACUGGGUUAACUUGUCCUUACUCAGAGCAAAAACCCUUGGGGGAAUCCAGCACUACUUAUUUGUUUAAGAGAUGUGUCUAUGCAUUUGAGCGAUGUCUUGAUUUGUUUUUGUUUUUCCAAGGAGAUCAUAACUCAUUUGCAUAAACAGUUCCUAGUCCAUAAUGAAUCCGCAUAACAGUAUUUACGAUAGAUAAGUUAAAGGAGAUUUUAUGAGACAGCAAAGCAUGCAGUAGAAGAAGGGAGAAGUACCCUUUUCAUGCUGUCUGGCAAGAAUGAUGACUUAAAGCAGAAAGUAAUUUUAAUAUCUAAGUACCCGCAUCAAAAAAAGAAAACAGGGAAAACAGGUAUUUAUGGGCAUGUUGGUGUUACAAAUGCUGUGGUACUCUGCUUUAAUAUACUGCAUUCAAUAUCUGAUAGGUAACAUACAAAUUAAAGAAUAUGCCAGUUAAGACUACAGGAGUCCUAUUUAGUCAUCUGUAUGGAUCUUGUAUGACUACUUCUAACUUAACAAAAAGAAGGUCUCUUAAGCAAGGGCUGCUGCUCAAAAACAAAAUGGAACUUUGUCUGGCAUCUUCAGGAAAAAGAAGAGCCAAAAAGAAGCUACAGUCUGCUGCAGAAAUCUAAGGGCACGUUACUCUUUAAACUAAUUUAUCAGUAAAUCAGCUCCGAUAAAAUGUUGGACGGGUUGUACAUGUGGGUGGAAACAAUAUGCACAGUAAAACAAGCUGGUUGGGUAUGCAGAGAAAUGUGCUGCUAGAAAAUCUUGUGAGGAACUUUGAACUAGCUGAAGUAUUGUAUAUAAACUUGUUUUACAUGCUGUUGAUUAAGCAGAAUUCAGAUGUUGAAGACAGCAGUCGUGAAGUCUCUGGCUUUGUGUGAUUGCUGAACAGCUCAGUGUGGAACGCUUAAUCUCAUAUUAACUUUUCUGUUUGUUAUGACAACUUAGUGCUGUUUCACGGCAAUUUUGAAGUUAUUUGAAGAACUCUGGGGAAGGGGAUCUUAAUGGCAUAGAAGACUGGAGUGGACACUGCAGCGACUGGAAGACAGAAGAGGAUUCCUAAGGAGAAGGGCAGAGGGAUAUGGAGAGAGGCACAAAAAAAUAAGCAUACAAAGAUGGUACAGGGGUGUACCAUUAUGGCAUAGUGUGAGAAACUGAGGAGUGUAUCAGUGCUGUUUUCUUAGCAUAGCAGACCCACUUAUCUAAUUUUAUCUGUAGUAUUUCUAAAAUACAAGUAAUGUGCAAGCUGUACUGUAACAUAGAGACAAGCACUAAAAGCAGUUCAGCUGCUGUGGUCUGCAGAUGCUGAUGUCUGUAGUCCCUCAUAAUCUUGUAUGUGGCUAGUUGGAGAGGAUGAAGUUUACUAAAGAUGAUGAGAGUUUCACUUGAUUCUGUGGUUCAAACAGAUAUAGCUGUCAAACAAUGAUGUUUCUGGUUUCAGAGUUAUCUUUGGUUUGAGUUCUUGUGACCUACUGCCUAGGGCAAGCAUCCAGGUGAGAGUGCUGAUAGGAAUUUGCAACUUAAAGCUCCUUGGCAGCAGAUGCCUUUUUUCAGUUUUUGUAGCAGUGAAGCAGGUUCCAGAGAAUGGGAGGAGAAAUCUCAGAGGGUGUUUGUGAGGUGCCUGAGAGAGGCAUGUAGGGAUGGGAAAGGAACCUGGGAAAAGCCAGAGGGGUGUCAUGGGUCUGAACUCAGUGUCUUUCUCUUCUCUCAGCCUGCCCCAUCUCUUCCUCCCCAGGAGUGGCUCCUCAAGUUCUUGGAGUUUGUUGCUUGUUUCCAAAGCCCAAAGACAUCUCCUCUCCCCCCGCCUUAUAUCUGUCUUCCUCUAUCAACUCAACUCUGCCUGGAAAAAAAAUCUCCUCAUGGCUUUGCUGUAACUUCUAAUUAUUCUCUGCCUAAAAGAGCAGGAUGCCAGGGGCAACUCCUGUUACAAAGCAAAGAGGAGACAGAAGGUGGGUAAGGGUCAUUUAGGCCAGAACAACAAGCUUUGUCUCCCAAGAUGAAGGCAAUGUAUCUUGCACUCUUCAGCUGCUCUUGCCUUGUCUUGGCCUACUGAAUUUAUGUCAUUCGAGUAGCCCAGCUGAUGGCAGAUGCCCACAGAUUGACCUUCAUUUUGUUGUUUUGUAGGUUUUAAGGAUGUGACUUCGGUCAGAUAAAGCACAAUCUGGCAGGUGUUAUGAAGAAAACUGGUAGAAGUAGCAGAACUAACCUUAUGGAAAAAUAUUUGCCCAGUGAUUUGCUAAACCAAUCAACAAGCAACACUUCAGAGUUGCUUGCAGGGGAGAUCAGGUGCAUGCAGUGCACCUAGUUGAUGGGAAGGGGUGGAGCCAGGAUCUACUCCCUUACAGACCUCAUUUAAGGGUUGGCAGUGGAAGUGAGGGUAUAUUGUUGGAGAUCCUCACCUAUAUGAGGCCUUCUGAAGGUGGAGUUAUUUCUGUAUAUGCCACUCUCCAGAUGGUUGUCCUUGUUCUAAUACCUUUUUCCUUACUUUACUGAUCAUGGUGAAAAAGUGUCUACCUGAAAAGCACAGCUUCCCUGGAGAAGAUGAUAUCUAUGCCUGAGACAACACUGCUUGUGAAUUCUUAUCCUGUGUGAAUUUCAAAGUUCUAAUUUCCCUACUUUGGGCAGCCACAUCAUUCUUCCUGCAGGAAACAUUGGACUGAGAUUCAUGGCCUUGUUCAUGCUUCCCCAUGUCUUAACUUUUUCCACUUAGAGAUUUUGGUGUCAGCAAAAUCAAAGAAAAUCUCUGAAUAAUUGUCAUUGAUAUAUAUUUUUUUUCCAUCAGUAUGUUAUUUGCAAAAUGACUGUCACUGCAGUACAUAAUCUUCUGUAAAAGAACCUUGCAGUUAAAAGUUUCAUUUAUGACACACUGACUGAAGCUUAUACCUAUCUCAGCUGCAUUUAACGCUACAUUUGUGUUGCUAAUUAAUUUGAGAAGAGUGAAGGCAAUCUCAUUUUUUUCCAAAAGACUGUAAAUGGCCUCUUGUAAUCAUUUAGCAGAGAAUGACCUCUUGCAAGCUCUGUUUGCUGCGUCCGCACAAUGCUGCUGAGAGGGAACUGCUGGUAGCAAAGAGGAAAUACAGCAAAGCUGGACAUUUGCACUGCAGCCCAGACAGAAGUGCUGUGUAAUGCCAGUAUAACUGGAAAGAUGAAGACCUCUGCAGACCAACUGUUGAGUGUCAGCAGUUCAUGCUAGCAGAACUUCUGCCAGUAAAACUGCCUUCCUCUCAAAUAAGGCCAGCAACAAGAGCAUACAGAGAGAUACAGAUUUUGGGGGAUAUUUGUAGGGUGCUGGUGAGAAGGGCAACUAGUCUCUCUCCUUGCUUCUUACACUGUUGUUCCUGUACAGACAGCCCCAAGGAUGCCUGCCCACCAAGGUCCUGAUGCCAUGUGCCUGGCCACUGCUGGCCUUGUUUGAACCAGAAAGUUUUACUGGCAGAAGUUCUGUUGGCAUGUGCUAUAGACAUUGCUGUGUUGGCAGGAUGCGCUCACAUUUGGCUGUUUCUAAAGGUGCAAGAUGUCCUCAGUGCAUCAGGCUUUUAUCAGCAGAAGAUGGCAGCAUUAUGGGAGGAUAACCCAGAUUACCUUGUGCAGUGUUUGGUAGAUUGCCUUCUGGUAAUUUCUUGCAGCAUAUUGUGGAGCUGCUGUUGUAUACUGUGAGAUACCAUCAGUUACAUCAUAAAAUCUGUGUAAAUAUUGGGUCAGAUUUUCAAAAAAUUUUCGAUCUUGUGCAAUGAUCUGUUUUUACAUGUGCUGUUUUCCCAUAUUGCAAAUUUCUCAUUGCCAGAAGCCCAGAUUGUAUCAAAUAGCAUCGCUCUCUUGUUCAUUUAGGGCAGAUGUAAGCAUUCUUUCUUAUCUAAAGAGCAGCCUAAAGUAUUGGGUACUGGGGACAAAUGGAACAUAGAGACAGUGAAUGGUAGCUAACUAUUUGCAGUAAGUGUUUGCUAAACUUCUUUACAAGAACAACUUGAAGUUUUGAGCCAUACUGUGAGCACUGAAAGAGAGAAACUUUCAGGGUUGGAUAUUAAACUCUUGCCAACAUAUCCACUCUGAUUUAGGAGCUGCUUAAUGAGGAGAAAGAAGCACUAGGUGGUGCCAACUUUUUGGAAAGCUGUGCUGAUGUGGGCAUUUUGGCAUUACUUGGGGAGCUGUCUCCAGUGCUGUACAUAAAAUUAAGUAUUUCCUGCUGCACGGUCACUUCAUGCUGGGUAAUAUACUGGAAAUAAGAGAUGAACCUGAUAUGAUGGACUUUGCUAGCUGUGAGGGAACAGUAAAUAAGGUUUAUAUCCAAUUCUGUCCUAUCUUGUUUUGAAUAAAGAGAAUGAAAGCGGUGCUUCUCCAUGGUGAUCUCUCUAGACAGUAUUUUACAUCAGUGUUGCUUGGGAGAAAGCCCAUGCUUGCCUCCCCAUCUAUCCUGUUGUCAUUAAUGAUGUUACAUAGCCAACUCUGGCAACAGAGACAAAGCAGGUUUGGCAAGCUGUAGGUAAAAAACAAGACAUUGUAACAGGAAAAAAUAACAGAAAUAUCCACCAGAAAACUGUAAUUUCGUAGUCUCCUGAAACAAACAAACAAACAAACAAAACACAUAGGGUUUCACAGGGUUCCUUCAUUUGCUGAGUGUAAUUUUGUCCUUUUCCCAAAUUUAGCGCAAAGUCAGUUAUAGGGUUUUGGUUUUUCCCAUGACAUUUCCAGGUAUUACAGACAAGUGCAUUUCAUAAACAGCCCUCAUAUAUGUAGAAUAUAUAGAUGGCUGGAAGAUACCUAGAGCUUAGAGACCAUGGGCAUGUGUAGAACCUGCAGAUCUGCAUAGAAAGCCACAUAUGUAACCAGAGUACCUGCACAAUGACCCUGAUGUGGUAUGGACAAUAUAGCAUCUGUAGUUUGCAGGAAGGCAGCAUACAUCCAGUAAGUGCAAUGUCUUCUGUACACGUCCAUUUACUCUGCUUAACACAUGGACAGAAGAUCUGGCAUGUCUGUGUAUGUGCUGGGCAGCACAUGGACUGAUAUUUGUCUUAGAUUUCAUGUCUAUAAUUCAGAAAGUCCAAGCUAAACUAUUUUAUUGAAAACAUAUACUCACUCAUUUGGAACUUCUGUUCCUAAAAAUCAUCUGAAGCAACUUGAGUUCCAAUGAUACUACAUUUUAUUGGUUUAAAGCAAGUGUGUUCUUUAAAUGAUGAAACUGCUCACUCAUUGCUUUGCAUUGGUUUUUGUGAUCUGUGAAAGUUCUGGUUUUGACUUCUUGGAUUUUCACCCAAUACUGAUAUUUCAGUAUUCUUAAUAUACAUUUCCCCUUUCCUCCCACCAGCAGCUGAUAGAUAGAAUGUAAUAGGAGAACGAGUUAGGAGGAAAGACAAGGAAUGCUUAUUUAGAAACUUUUGACAAAGUAAACUAUCACUAACAUCACUAUGUUAACGGACUGGCCGUACUACAGUGAAUACAGCGAAUACCUUCCUGAAUCAGCUACCUGUGUUUGGAGAGCUUCCUAAGGGGCUCUGUAGCUCAUUGGUUUUUACUCUAGCCAUGUCUUCUUCCCAAAAACUCUUUAUCCUUUUCUUAGUGACUUUCACCAUGGGCUUAUGUUGAUGAUGAGAGCAGUAUCCCAGCUAUUAUGAGGAGCGCAUGACAAGCUGGUCAUAAAGGAAGACCUUGUGGGACUAAACUUAGGGAACUUGUUGCAGGAAGAGAAACUGCCUUUUCUUCUUCUUCACCUGACACUAGGUCUUAUUCCUUUUAGGUUUUCCAUUGGUUGUGGCUUCCACUACCUUACCAUUCCCCUUCUUUCUGCACUGAUGAAAUCCCACUGAGCCUUCUCUCCUCUAGGCUGGACACUCCCAGCUCUCAACCUUUCCUCAUAGAAAAGAUGCACCAGUCCUUUAAUCACAUUAGUAGUCCUAUGCUGUAUGUAUGUAUGUAUAUCUAUGCCCAGUAUGUCCAUGCCUUUCCUAUAUUGGGGAGCGCAUGAGUGGAUCUAGCACUCCAAGUGAGGCCUCAUCAGUACCCAGCAAAGGGGAAGAAUCAUCUCCCUCAACUUACUGGCAACACUCUUCCUAAUGCAGCCCAAGAGGCUGUUGGCCUUCUCUGUGGCAAGGGCAUAAUGCUGGCUUGUGUUCAAAUUGGUGCCAUCACCCCCAUGUUUUUUUCUGCCAAGCUGCUAUCCAGCCAGUAGGCCCCCAGCAUGCUGAGGUCCCCCUGUGUGGGACUUUACAUUUCCCUUUGUUGAACUUGUUGAGAACUGUUUCAAGCCCAUUACUCUAGUCUGUCUGGGUCCCUUUGAACAAGCCAGUUAUCUCAUCAUAUAACCAGUGGUCUUUCUGGGAUUGUUUAGUCUGAAGAAGAAGUAGAAGAGGAGGCUCAGGGGAGACCUUAUAGCUCUCUGCAGCUACCUGAAAAGAGGUUGUGACAAGAUGGGAAUUGGCCUCUUUUCCCAUAUAACUAGUGAUAGGACUAGGGAAUGGUCUCAAGUUGCACCAAGGAAGGUUCAGGUUGGGUAUUAGGAAAAAUUUAUUUACAGGAGUGGUCAGGUGCUGGAACAAGCUGCCCAGGAUUAAGUCACAUCCCUGGAAGGCAUUCAAGAAAAAUUUAGAUGUUGUACUAAUGGACAUGGUUCAGUGGAAAAAUAUUGGUGGUAGGUGGACAGUUGGACUAAAUAACGCUGGAGGUCUUUUCUAACCUUGGUGUUUCUAUAAUUCUGUGAUUCUACUCUUGACAGAUUUCCCCUGCUGCUUGUAUAGGAGACUUUCAUAAACUUGUUUGAUUAAAACUUAUUUGGUUACCUAACAUUGGGUUUGUUUCUAAGUGCUGUAAAAUGAACUGCUUCGCCUGCCUUUGAAAUGAGGUACAAGUGAUACAAAACACAUAUUUUAUUUAACAGGAUAUACCAGAUGGUCUAUGCAAAACUGCAUACAAAAGAAAGAUUUUUGUCCAGAUCUGAGGUAGGGUUGUUUUGUUUUGAAAAAAAAAAGAGAAAAAAGAGGAAAGAAAUUAGAGGGAAAUGGGGAUUGCAUUUCUGCUUGUGUUGCUGAAAUUGCACUGAGGGCUGCUAUUACAGGUCAGCAACAAGAAGUAGCAAGUAUGAUCAGUGAACAUUUGAUAUGCAAAGUUUUUAACACUGUUAAAUAACUUUGAAUUGCAUUGAAAUAUAGGCCAUGUAUACUUAGAUACUCAGAUAAGAUUUAUUUCUAGAUAAAUUUAUUUCUAGAUAAAUUUAAGUUAGCUGAAUUGAAAAUGAGAUUGGAUACCAACACAAAAUUCUUUUCAUGAUUUUCGAACAUUAUAAGUAAUUUCAGUGAACUGCUUGGAACACAUUGUUUAAACAUCAACAGUCUCUUGAGCAAAAACUGACUUUCUUAGACCUACUCAAUUUAUAUGUUCUGUUGACACUUCCAUCCUAAAAGGAAGUUUCUGCAAACAUGCAGAUUUAAUUAAGUAUCUGCAUUUAAAAGAGGUGCUGAGAGUUCAUUCAAUAAAAAGCACAUAAGGAAAGGGAUUUAAGUGAGAAAGUUGCAACGACUGAGACAGCAGAGAAACAUCAGGAAAGAAAUAUUUGCUAUAAUUGCCAAAACCAACAAAAACAACAAAAAAACAACAACCAAACAAAUAACCAUAAAAUUAACUCUUCAAUUGUUGACCUAGAAAAUAGUGAGGAGAAAUAAUAUGCCUGUGAAAAGGAUUAAAGAUGUCAAGAAGGAUGGCUUAGUGGGUUUAACUGGGUGGAUUUAAAAAUUGUUUAAAGAAUGAUGCAAUGAUAAUAGUAAAAAGAGAUUCAAACUGGCUUUACUAGGAAGCAGAUCUACAGAUGUUCCUGUGAAACUUCAUAUGUAUUAUUUCAAUAAAAGUAAGGUUGAGAACAAAAUAACAUAGAAU